rnacentral:rRNA from 1 species
AGUGGAAGCGUCUGGAAAGGCGCGCGAUACAGGGUGACAGCCCCGUACACAAAAGCGCAUGUGCUGUGAGCUCGAUGAGUAGGGCGGGACACGUGGUAUCCUGUCUGAAUAUGGGGGGACCAUCCUCCAAGGCUAAAUACUCCUGACUGACCGAUAGUGAACCAGUACCGUGAGGGAAAGGCGAAAAGAACCCCGGCGAGGGGAGUGAAAAAGAACCUGAAACCGUGUACGUACAAGCAGUGGGAGCACCCUUUGGGGUGUGACUGCGUACCUUUUGUAUAAUGGGUCAGCGACUUAUAUUCUGUAGCAAGGUUAACCGAAUAGGGGAGCCGGAGGGAAACCGAGUCUUAAYYGGGCGUUAAGUUGCAGGGUAUAGACCCGAAACCCGGUGAUCUAGCCAUGGGCAGGUUGAAGGUUGGGUAACACUAACUGGAGGACCGAACCGACUAAUGUUGAAAAAUUAGCGGAUGACCUGUGGCUGGGGGUGAAAGGCCAAUCAAACCGGGAGAUAGCUGGUUCUCCCCGAAAGCUAUUUAGGUAGCGCCUCGUGAAUUCAUCUCCGGGGGUAGAGCACUGUUUCGGCUAGG